rnacentral:rRNA from 1 species
AGUCGAGCGGACUUCUUAAAAGCUUGCUUUUAAGAAGUUAGCGGCGGACGGGUGAGUAACACGUGGGCAACCUGCCUUACAGACUGGGAUAACUCCGGGAAACCGGAGCUAAUACCGGAUGAUCAAAUGGACCGCAUGGUCCGAUUGUAAAAGUUGGGAUUUAUCCUAACACUGUGAGAUGGGCCCGCGGCGCAUUAGCUAGUUGGUGAGGUAACGGCUCACCAAGGCGACGAUGCGUAGCCGACCUGAGAGGGUGAUCGGCCACACUGGAACUGAGACACGGUCCAGACUCCUACGGGAGGCAGCAGUAGGGAAUCAUCCGCAAUGGGCGAAAGCCUGACGGUGCAACGCCGCGUGAACGAUGAAGGUCUUCGGAUUGUAAAGUUCUGUUGUUAGGGAAGAACAAGUGCCGUUCGAAUAGGUCGGCACCUUGACGGUACCUAACCAGAAAGCCCCGGCUAACUACGUGCCAGCAGCCGCGGUAAUACGUAGGGGGCAAGCGUUGUCCGGAAUUAUUGGGCGUAAAGCGCGCGCAGGCGGUCUCUUAAGUCUGAUGUGAAAGCCCACGGCUCAACCGUGGAGGGUCAUUGGAAACUGGGGGACUUGAGUGUAGG